GAUGAACGCUGGCGGCGUGCUUAACACAUGCAAGUCGAACGGUGAAGGUGGGAGCUUGCUCCUGCCGGAUCAGUGGCGAACGGGUGAGUAACACGUGAGCAAUCUGCCCCGAACUCUGGGAUAAGCGCUGGAAACGGCGUCUAAUACCGGAUACGACGCGCGACGGCAUCGUCUGUGCGUGGAAAGAACUUCGGUUCGGGAUGAGCUCGCGGCCUAUCAGCUUGUUGGUGAGGUAAUGGCUCACCAAGGCGACGGCGGGUAGCCGGCCUGAGGGGGGGACCGGCCACACUGGGACUGAGCGACGGCCAGGACUCCUACGGGAGGCAGCAGUGGGGAAUAUUGCACAAUGGGCGCAAGCCUGAUGCAGCAACGCCGCGUGAGGGACGACGGCCUUCGGGUUGUAAACCUCUUUUAGUAGGGAAGAAGCGAAAGUGACGGUACCUGCAGAAAAAGCACCGGCUAACUACGUGCCAGCCGCCGCUGUAAAAC
rnacentral:rRNA from 1 species